CAAAUUUUCCACUCCUGUUGUAUUCUCUAUAGAUCUAAUCCAAGAGAUAAAAGUUAGGGAAAGAAGGACAUGAGGCACAAGUUUUCACUCACUAUCAAGAUGUCUAGCGCCUUCCCAAUUUUGUAACCCAGACCAGUGGUGGUGCUGAGAUGAGGCGUGAGACAUCGACCUUAAGUUAACGUGGAGGACCUGUGUUGGGGAGAUACUG
rnacentral:lncRNA from 1 species